rnacentral:rRNA from 1 species
UACGGGGGGGGCAAGCGUUGUUCGGAAUUACUGGGCGUAAAGGGCGCGUAGGCGGCCUUUUAAGUCAGACGUGAAAUCCCCCGGCUUAACCUGGGAACUGCGUCUGAUACUGGAAGGCUUGAGUUCGGGAGAGGGAUGUGGAAUUCCAGGUGUAGCGGUGAAAUGCGUAGAUAUCUGGAGGAACACCGGUGGCGAAGGCGGCAUCCUGGACCGAAACUGACACUGAGGCGCGAAAGCCAGGGGAGCAAACGGG